AGAAAAGUGACCGCCGCCCCGCGCAGGGGCGACGCUAAUAGACCGUUAGCGCAACAGGUUCAACGACAGGGCGAGGAUCACAGACAUCGACCCCACGCCCCCGCGAGCCACUC
rfam:Burkholderia cenocepacia PC184 cont1.83, whole genome shotgun sequence.